rnacentral:rRNA from 1 species
UACCAGACUCCUACGGGAGGCAGCAGUGAGGAAUAUUGGUCAAUGGGCGGAAGCCUGAACCAGCCAAGUCGCGUGAAGGAUGACGGCCCUGCGGGUUGUAAACUUCUUUUGUCAGGGAGCAAUUGAGUCCACGUGUGGGCUUAGCGAGAGUACCUGAAGAAAAAGCAUCGGCUAACUCCGUGCCAGCAGCCGCGGUAAUACGGAGGAUGCGAGCGUUAUCCGGAUUUAUUGGGUUUAAAGGGUGCGUAGGCGGAAUAUCAAGUCAGCGGUAAAAAUUCGGGGCUCAACCCCGUCGUGCCGUUGAAACUGAUGUUCUUGAGUGGGCGAGAAGUAUGCGGAAUGCGUGGUGUAGCGGUGAAAUGCAUAGAUAUCACGCAGAACUCCGAUUGCGAAGGCAGCAUACCGGCGCCCAACUGACGCUGAAGCACGAAAGCGUGGGUAUCGAACAGGAUUAGAUACCCGAGUAC